UGGGGAAUAUUGGACAAUGGGCGCAAGCCUGAUCCAGCAAUGCCGCGUGUGUGAAGAAGGCCUUCGGGUUGUAAAGCACUUUAAGCAGGGAAGAAAAAACUCGGUCUAAUACAUCGAGUCUUGACGGUACCUGAAGAAUAAGCACCGGCUAACUCUGUGCCAGCAGCCGCGGUAAUACAGAGGGUGCUAGCGUUAAUCGGAUUUACUGGGCGUAAAGCGUGUGUAGGUGGUUGUUCAAGUCAGUUGUGAAAUCCCUGGGCUUAACCUGGGAACUGCUUCUGAGACUGAACGACUAGAGUACGGUAGAGGGUGGUGGAAUUUCCGGUGUAGCGGUGAAAUGCGUAGAUAUCGGAAGGAACAUCAAUGGCGAAGGCAGCCACCUGGGCCUGUACUGACACUGAGACACGAAAGCGUGGGGAUCAAACAGGAUUAGAUACCCUGGUAGUCCACGCCGUAAACGAUGAGAACUUGACGUCGGUUUGCUCUGCAAGUCGGUGUCGUAGCUAACGCGAUAAGUUCUCCGCCUGGGGAGUACGGCC
rnacentral:rRNA from 1 species